AGGUUGCAGAUGAAAUUUAUUCAGAGCUGAAAUCCAUGGCACAUAUUGGUCAAGGGUUUGAUGAGAAGAAUAUUAGGCGGAGAGUGUAUGAUGCUUUCAACGUUCUCAUUGCACUUCGUGUUAUUGCAAAAGAAAAAAAAGGAGAUAUGGUGGAUGGGCCUUUCAAAUUACAGAUAUGAAAAGCUAAAGAAGUUGGAGGAAGUUCGCAAAGAACUCGUCAACAAGAUUAGGCACAAGAAGGCACUCCUCCAGGAAAUCGAAAAAAGGUAA